ensembl:ncRNA mir-4943 mir-4943 stem loop
UUCGGAUCGUUUGAAUGACCAAUUUUGUCUUUUAUUUUCUCUGUGUUUUCAGUUAAUGAAAGAUAGUGAACACAGUGCUAAAUGAAAGAUAAUGAGACCCAGUCGACAGGACCCAAG